AGGCUUCAGCUGCUCUGGGGUUGGAAACACAGGCCUCACGCUGCUCUGGGUCUCCACUGCCUUCCGGAACUGAGUGUACACAUCAGGCAGCCUAACGUACCGGGAGGAGAUAUAAUAAAAACGGAAGUCAGAAAAUCAAAACAGAUGUGGAGGAUAUAGCGGUAACAAAUGGAUGGAUGGAUGUCAGGAGCGUUGUCUGGAUCAUGGGAGGUUCACAGUUUAUCUCAGAGUCGUCAAAGACCAGUUAGACGUACUUGACUAUCAAAAGACACAUUGUAAGAGCUCACUGCAUUACAAAAACAUGGAAGACAAGCACAACUUCAACACAAAUGUGUGGUCUUCGACACUUAGACAGGCGAUAUCCUCGCUCACCGCGACACGUGAUGAAAUGGCAGAUCAUCUCUGUGGUACAGCGUCGACCCCCAGCAGGUACGAACUUUCACCUUCAACCGUGCACAGACAUCCUUCACGUUUUUCUCCACACUCAGCUCUUCUGAAGUCACCUGGGGGGCAUGAAACAGCGUCAAAUUCAUCAGAUGAUGCAGUAAAACCGAUGCUAAUAAGAAAUGGGUGUUUGUGUUUUCUGUACUGUACCUCUUCGUGAAAAGCCACGGUGCUGACUGAGCCCAGUUGCUUGAUGAGCUCGGCGACAACAUCCUCCGGUUUACCCCGUCUCACCACCAGGUUGCUGUCACAUUCCCACACACACACACACACACAGACAAACAUACAAAAAUAUACAUAAGUCCGUGUUCACAUGUCUGGGUUCCAUGCCAGGCAAGCUGCAUCCUGGGUAGAAGGGCGCAUAAGCCACCCCCCCACCACCACCACCACUGGCUGGAAAAAAAUGAUGGUGUGCAACAGCAGUGUUAAUUCAAACAUAACCCCCCCAUAAGACCAGGUGCAUCCUGAUCCUGUCAUAUCUGCUGCUGUGCAUCAAUACAGUCCUGGAGAGUGGAGGGGGUCUGCACUGAGUGCACACGUAACAGUAACAUGACACAUAAGCUCAUGAUCGUUUUCCUCUGUGGAAACAUGUUAUGGUGUUUUCUGUGUUACAUCCAUGAAGGAUAUGAAGCGUGGAGGAAGUCUGCAACGUCGACGGUCCGGUGCAUAUGAGCAGAAAUUGACACUGUUAUGCAGAACGUUAUGUGUGUAGUUUAUAAUCACAUUAAAAUUUGAACGUCUUCAA